rnacentral:rRNA from 1 species
UACGGGGGGGGCAAGCGUUGUUCGGAAUUACUGGGCGUAAAGGGCUCGUAGGCGGCCAACUAAGUCAGACGUGAAAUCCCUCGGCUUAACCGGGGAACUGCCUCUGAUACUGGAUGGCUCGAGUGUGGGAGAGGAAUGCGGAAUUCCAGGUGUAGCGGUGAAAUGCGUAGAUAUCUGGAGGAACACCGGUGGCGAAGGCGGCAUUCUGGACCACAACUGACACUGAGAGACGAAAGCCAGGGGAGCAAACGGG